rnacentral:rRNA from 1 species
AUUGAACGCUGGCGGCAGGCCUAACACAUGCAAGUCGAACGGUAGCACAGAGAGCUUGCUCUCGGGUGACGAGUGGCGGACGGGUGAGUAACGUCUGGGAAACUGCCCGAUGGAGGGGGAUAACUACUGGAAACGGUAGCUAAUACCGCAUAACGUCGCAAGACCAAAGUGAGGGACCUUCGGGCCUCUUGCCAUCGGAUGUGCCCAGAUGGGAUUAGCUAGUAGGUGGGGUAACGGCUCACCUAGGCGACGAUCCCUAGCUGGCCUGAGAGGAUGACCAGCCACACUGGAACUGAGACACGGUCCAGACUCCUACGGGAGGCAGCAGUGGGGAAUAUUGCACAAUGGGCGCAAGCCUGAUGCAGCCAUGCCGCGUGUAUGAAGAAGGCCUUCGGGUUGUAAAGUACUUUCAGCGGGGAGGAAGGCGAUAAGGUUAAUAACCUUGUCGAUUGACGUUACCCGCAGAAGAAGCACCGGCUAACUCCGUGCCAGCAGCCGCAGUAACAC